rnacentral:rRNA from 1 species
UCCGGUGGCGAUGCGCCUGGGGGACACACACGUUCCCAUCCCGAACACGCAGCUCACGUUCGCGUGAGCAUGUUAAGACCCAGGCGGCCGAUGGUACUACGUUGGAGACGGCGUGGGAGAGCAGGUGGCUGCCGGAA